rnacentral:lncRNA from 1 species
UCGUUUCGACCGGUUUAGCUGUUCUGGAACUAAUGGCGCUGACGAAUUUUGAGUUUGACGCACGAAUUUCGAGAAAAUCCGAAAAUACGUGUUUUAUAUGUAUUUGUGCGUAGUUCUUCUGUUGGAGAGAUGGAUCGGAUUUCGUCGUGAAUCUGCGACGGAUUGAGGCGAAACGAAAUCGUAGCUUUAUUGUCUCUAUUGUGCUGAUCGCACUGGUGUGAUCCGUUUGCAAAUCUGACGGGCGGAUCUGCGGAGAUUACGCGUUGAUCGAGGAGAGGUCGGUGAUGGCAAAACGGUAUUUUUGCAAAAGUUGCGAUAUUUUAUGUAUCGUUUUGCGUGAAACCGGACGUGGAAGUGUGUUCGCG